ACACACACACACACACACACACACACACACACACAGAAAAAGGAGCCGGGCCCAACCCAUAGCUGCUCAUCAGAAUCCAAAGACACACAGCUCCCAGCAAGCUCUCGGCCCAGUACGAAGGGCAUUUGUAAGAGGGUAACAGCAACCCACAGCAUAGUCCACUGCGAUGAACGAACCAUCCAAUAUCCUCUCUGAAGAGAAAGAAGCAACAAAGCCUCCUUCCUGGCUCACGCUCGCCGGCACAGAGCCCAUGUGCAUCCUGCACGGGGAACAGCAAGCUUCAAAGAGAACCCCUGGCCUCAAGUCAAGACCUAAGAAAGUGUGACCAAGUGCACAGAUUACUAAGGAGCCUGUGCGCAUCUGGCAUCACAAGAGUGUGAGUCCCAAACGUGGCCGCACUGCAAAAUCAUGGAAAGCACCGAAAAGUCACCCACUUACAAAUCGGCAUCAGAAUCUCUGGGGAUGGUGCCGAUAUUUUUUUCCCAAAGGGUGCUCAGGCACAGCCAAGUUUGGGAACCGCUGCCCUGAGUAAGCAGAAAGUGGCAACAUGUUACCUUCUGACCACGGCAUGAACAAGAAGACCUCCCAGAAGAGACAGUUGUCACCCUACCUUUGAGGAAUGGAGAGGUCUGUAGAGGGAACUUCAGCAAAGGGCCCCCAUACUGAGGAGCCCCACCAAGACCAGGAUGACCUGUGCACAGGGUACUGGUUCCCUACAAAAAGCAGGUCGGCUGGAGCAGGUCCGUGGCGAGGCGAGAGGCUGGGACAGCUGGGGAGCGCCACGUCCCAUGGACUGGAGGAGAGGCUGGAACCUAAAGCUGGCAAAUUCCCUUCUCCUAUUCACGCCACUUUUUUGGCCUUGUGAGGGGGCGGCCCCACCUGAAGGUGAGAAGGCAGAAGACACCGUGAGCUCUACUCCCCAUCGUCUGGAAGCUCCCACUGCCGCCACGCCACCAAGGAAGAAUCUGAAGGCAAUCUCUACCUCUCCAGCCUCACCCCAGCCUCACACUGUUCUUAAAGAACAGGACGACAAGCAGACCCCCUCUAGUUACAUGAGCCUCGUUUGUGACACCUCCUCCAUCCAGCCUGUCUAAAAUCUCUCCCCUCCCCACAUACCCUCCCCCAUCUCCCUUGGCAGUCUCUUGUCCUAUGGGCCCUCAUUUCUUAACGUUAUAGCUCUCUGGCCAUCCGGGGGAGAAAUAAAAAUGGAGCCUUUUGUACUGUGGAGUAAAUGUACUCAUGCUUCUCAGCUACAAAAGGUUUCCAACUGCAGCAGCUUUCACGGACUGAUUGUAGCAGGCAGGCAAUUUAGUAGACAUUGUGCAACUGGGGAAUUACUCCAGGAAUAGCUGGAAAACCAAAUGAGAUGUCCCAGGAAACGUAGCAGCUUCUGGACAAAUGCAUUCGUCCUGCACUUGCUCCUGGCGCACGUGUGCCAAGCACUGGCCAAGUCCACGGCCGGGCCCUGCCUUUCGGGAGGGCCGACUUCAGACCGACCCACACAGGGACUCGGGCAGUUGGCUGUAUGGUAAGCACCAGGUUCGGGGUGCGGACGAGAAAUACUGCAGGGGUGACUGAGGGGGAAGAUCAUCAAGUAUGAAUUUUAAGCCAAGAAAAUACUUCUAUUGCUCACAGCUCUGGAACUGCCGGACUCUCUACAGAAUCAUGACUGGCGGGAAGCGGGCCGUGAACUCGCCCCGUGUAUCUCCAUGUUCCAUACGCCAUCAUGGAUCACUCAUGGGAUGAGCUUGCCUAUCUACACAUGUUUCUGGGUAACCUCAGUAUUAAUCUUUCUCUUGUCCCCUCUCAGUACAUCCUCAGGUGAAAAGGCAGUGUUUAAAGCACUAACGAAAUCAAAAAUAAAUGUGAGAGAAUCGGUGCCUCGUCCCUGAAGGCUGGGAAUUGUCCAUGACUACCUGACAGAGAUGUGGUUCCAGAGGUUUCUCCAACACAGACUGCCUCCACAUCUGCAAGUCCAGUGUGGGCACUCUGAACACAUUUCCCAUAGAGACAACAUACAAAUCAGGGUUCACUGUUGGAGCAGGCUGACAGAGCUCCGUAUUAACUCACAUGGUACCAAAAGCAUAGUGCCAUCCUAUUGUUUCCAUAUUUUUACCAAGAUAUAAUUCCCACACAGUUCACCCUUUUAAAGUGUACAACUUAGUGGCUUUUAGCACACUCCCAAAGUUGGGCAACUAUCACCUGUAUCUAAUUUUAGAACAUUUUGUCACCCCCUGAAAAAAGCCUGUACCUCCAGCAACCAUUCCUCCCUCCUCCACAGGCCCCCGCCCCCACCACUCAGCUACUUUCUGUCUCUACAGAUUUGCCUACUGUGGCAUUUCAUAUAAAUGGAAUCAUCAAAUAUGUGGCCUUUUGUGUCUGGCUUCUUCCAUUUAGCUAACGUUUCCAAGGCUCAUAUAAGUCGUGACAUGUAUCACCCAUUUUUCAGAGGCCUUUUAACAGCUCCUACUUUGUACCUCAAAUGGAAUUCCAUGUCCAAGAAUUUAAAGAAAUAAUCAGAAAUGCA